rnacentral:rRNA from 1 species
UACGAAGGGGGCUAGCGUUGUUCGGAAUGACUGGGCGUAAAGGGUGUGUAGGCGGAUCGGUAAGUACCUUGUGAAAUCCCACAGCUUAACUGUGGAACUGCUUGGUAUACUGCCAGUCUUGAGCCAGCUAGGGGCUACCGGAACAAAUGGUGGAGCGGUGAAAUGCGUAGAUAUCAUUUGGAACGCCAAUGGUGAAAACAGGUAGCUGGGGCUGUGCUGACGCUGAGACACGAAAGCCAGGGGAGCAAACGGG